rnacentral:lncRNA from 1 species
UUGUUAACCAUUUAGCCACACGUUAAAAAAUAAUGUAAAGUAACCAUUGUAUAAUUUUAGAGACAUUGAAAACCUAUAAAACAUGGCCAAAUUUAUAUUAAAGCCACUUUAAUUUACUAUUUAUUAUUACUUUUUCUACAUUAUAGACACAUCAAAAUAAUUUAAAUGAAAGUAACCAAACCCAACAAUAUGAAACAAAAGCAAAAUUCAUAAUUUGAUAUUAGUAAUAAUUGAAAUCCAAAUCCAUUAAAUUCCUAAUUAAAAUACAAAAAAAUGUACUAAUUGCAAGUAUUUAAAUUAUGGUAAAUAAAGCAAACACAUCAUAAACCAAAACCUUGACAUAAGUAGGCAUUCAUAUUAUUGGUACUACUCUUUAUCUUCUUGAGAAGGGUAUCAGAUGAUAUAUAAGUUGGUUUCCUUUUCUUUGAGUUUUGAAGUUCAUGGUCCUGAUGUGAUAUCAUAUUGUCUUGAUGUGAUAUCAUAUUUGGUACCUAUACCGACAUUGAAACGAAAAAUGAGUUCAUUAAAAACUUAGUAGACUAGUUUAUGAAGAAAAAAAAUGUGUAAUGCACAAAGAAGUUAACAUAAACAAACCUUUGCUUUGGAUUUCACAUGGUGUUUUGGCCAUGGAACAAAACUUUUAUAUGCCUGCCCAACUGUUUUGAAUUCUGCAGUUUCAUGGGUAAAGAAAGCAAAAACUAAAUAUAACUAUACUUCCAUCUUGUUGGUAUUGUUCCUUGUCUUGUUGAGAAGACUAUCGCUCAACAGACAAUACAAAAGUACAUUGCCUAAAGUGGGAUUCAAAGUGAAUAAAAACAUUAAAACCUGCUUUAAUUAACUAUUGGAUCCAAUAUUAUAUGUGUAGAGGGUUGGUAGUACUACCUUGAGAAAAUAUUGGUACAUCCAAGUUGGGGUAAAUUUUUUCUAAUUCACAAUACAACAUCAACAAAUUAAAAUAAACGUGAAUGAAAAUAUUAAAAUAUUAAAUAUGAACUUAGAAAACACAAACAUACCCAUCAAUGGGAUUCAUGACACCUGGAAAAUAUAUUGCAUUUCUUUUUAUAUCUCAAAUAGUAAAACAAAAAUAAGAGGUAAAAAUGAUACGCACAAUUAAGUUCCUACCUGACUAAUCAAAAAUAUAUUGCAUUUCUCCAUUUGUAAAGCUCUUUGAAUCUAGCGAACCGUCGGGCUUUUAAAAUUGAGCACAAAUGUAAUGCAUAUUUAAUAAAACAAGCACAUAUAAAAGAUGUUUAUUUGACCAAAUAUAAGCAAGUUAUGGCUAUAAAGAGUAAAGACUAUAAAUGACACUUCCAAACUUAAUCACUCUUCAAAAGUCAGGGGGUAUUUGCUCAUUUAAGAAUAAAUCAACUAAAAGACAAUCACAUAUUUAUGUUACAUUUAGAUGCAUUAAAGAAUCAAAAUAUAAAAAAAUUAGAGAAACAAUAAAAAUAAUACAAAUUUUUGUUUUGUUACAGACAUACACAAAAAGAAGAAGAAUAAAAACUUAGCAGAUCCAUGUUGUUUCUUGAUGAUCACCACCAAGAAUAAAGACAAACAAUAGAAUGAUAAAAAGUACAUCACCUGCUUAGUAACUUCCUCAGUGUCAAUUUGUCAAGUAUCUGUUGUUGCUCUUUAUUUCACCUCACAAACUCACAUCUGCCUCAAACAUGCGAAGUUUGAAGAAAUCAUGAGAUAGGCAAAUGUUUAUUAAGGGAUGUAGGAAUCAGUUUCCAUAAUCAAAAGAAAAAACAGAAACCAUGCCCUAGUAUAACCAAAAAAAGGAAAUACAUGUCAAGCUAGAACCCAAAACCUAAAUAACAAAGCCCUAUUUCAUUCCAGAUUUUAUUCAUUUUCAUCAAGCUCUGAAUUCCCUUUUUCAAACCCUAAAUAAAACAUAACAAAGAGAUUGUAAAAAGUCAUGUGAUUUGUUGUCGUAUCUAUAUGUUUUUCCCUAAAAAAACAAAAGGCUUAACUGUUAUGCCUUCUCAACAUCACCAAAUCUUCAUCUUAAAUUCCAUGAAUAAGUUCAAUUUGAGAUCAGAAGAAGAACUUUGAACCAUUUGUUCAAAUUUUUGCAUUUCAUACCAAGCAAAAACUUAAAUCAGACCUUAAAGAAAAUAAUAACAAUUUCAUCACUCACCUUUAAAUCGGAAUUAUGCCUUCUA